rnacentral:rRNA from 1 species
AGAAGAUGGUAAGGGCAAACGGUGGAUGCCUUGGCACAAGAAGCCGAUGAAGGACGUGAUAAGCUGCGAUAAGCCACGGUAAGGAGCACAUAUCCUGUGACCCGUGGAUUUCCGAAUGGGUAAACCCACCAAGAGUCAUUUCUUGGUACUUCCUGCUGAAUAUAUAGGCAGGAUAGAGGUAACCGGGGGAACUGAAACAUCUAAGUACCCCGAGGAAGAGAAAUCAAACGAGAUUCCCCUAGUAGUGGCGAGCGAACGGGGAUAUAGGACAAACCGUCAGUUGCGCAAGCGCUGGCGGGGUUGUAGGACCAUUCAUUGUGGAGUUACAAAACUUCGUGGAAGCAGAAUAGCUUGGAAAAGCUGGCGAGACAGGGUAAAAGCCCCGUACGCGAAUCUGCGAAGACUCCCGAGUGGCACCUGAGUACUGCCGGACACGUGAAACCCGGUGGGAACCUGGGGGGUCCACCCUCCAAUCCUAAAUACUCUCUUGUGACCGAUAGUGAACCAGUACCGUGAGGGAAAGGUGAAAAGCACCCCUAGCGGGGAGUGAAAUAGUACCUGAAACCGUUUGCCUACAAGCAGUCGGAGCAGACUUUUGUCUGUGACGGCGUGCCUUUUGUAGAAUGAGCCAGCGAGUUACGGCAUGUGGCAAGGUUAAGCUAAAAAGCGAGCCGCAGCGAAAGCGAGUCUGAAUAGGGCGAGUGAGUCGCAUACCGUAGACGCGAAGCCAGGUGAGCUAUCCAUGAGCAGGCUGAAGCGGGGGUAAGACCCCGUGGAGGGCCGAACCCACUUAGGUUGAAAACUGAGGGGAUGACUUGUGGAUAGGAGUGAAAGGCCUAUCAAACCUGGAGAUAUCUCGUUCUCUCCGAAAUAGCUUUAGGGCUAGCCUCGGAUGUUUACCAAUGGGGGUAGAGCACUGAAUAGUUGCGGGGGCUUCACCGCCUACCAAGAUUAAUCAAACUCCGAAUACCAUUGGUCUAGAAUCCGGGAGUCAGAAUAUGUGGGCUAAGCUGUGUAUUCGAAAGGGAAACAGCCCAGACCGCCCGCUAAGGUCCCAAAAUCAAUGCUAAGUGGCAAAGGAUGUGCGUUUGCUCAGACAACCAGGAUGUUGGCUUAGAAGCAGCCAUUCAUUUAAAGAGUGCGUAAUAGCUCACUGGUCGAGUGGACAUGCGCCGACAAUAUACGGGGCUAAGCAUUGUACCGAAGCGGCGGAUCAGUACUUUGUACUGGUGGUAGGAGAGCUUUCUGUACGGGUUGAAGCAGUUGGAUAACCAACUGUGGACUGUCCAGAAGUGAGAAUGCUGGCAUGAGUAACGAGAGACAUGUAAAAAACAUGUCCGCCGUAAACCCAAGGUUUCCUGGGCAAGGCUAAUCCUCCCAGGGUUAGGCGGGAGCUAAGGCAAGGCCGGAAGGCGUAGUCGAUGCACAACAGGUAGAAAUUCCUGUCCCUCCAAAAGAGCGUUAUCACCAAUGGGGUGACGGAGCAGGGUAGCUAGGCGGGGUUCUGGACGUCCCCGUGAUGGCACGUAGGCUGAGAAGUAGUGAAAUGCGCUUCUCGUGAUGGCUGAGGUGUCGGACGAAGCAAUUGAGUGAAGCUAGUAAGCCCAUACUUCCAAGAAAAACCUCUAGGGAGCUCUGAGGAGCCCGUACCGCAAACCGACACAGGUGGGUGGGUAGAGCAUACCAAGGCGAUCGGGAGAACUAUGGUUAAGGAACUCGGCAAAAUUGCCCCGUAACUUCGGGAGAAGGGGUGCCGGUUUCGGUGAAGGGAUUUACUCCCCGAGCUAAGAUCGGUCACAGUAAAUAGGUCCAAGCGACUGUUUAUCAAAAACACAGGACUCUGCUGAAGUCGUAAGACGACGUAUAGGGUCUGACGCCUGCCCGGUGCCGGAAGGUCACGAGGAGUUGUUAGCAUUAGCGAAGCAGCGAAUCUAAGCCCCGGUAAACGGCGGCCGUAACUAUAACGGUCCUAAGGUAGCGAAAUUCCUUGUCGGGUAAGUUCCGACCUGC